UACCCCUGAAUCUCGCCGUUCGCGAUUCGCGCCUGCAGGGUUGAAAGAUUGAAGUCUGGUCAUGUGAGCCAGCAAGCCCCCCACCACGGGGUAAACACCAAAGGAAAAGGCAGGGGCUCAAAGAGGUAUUUGUACACCCCUGGUCACAGCAGAGUCGCUCAAGGUGGAAGCAGCCCACGUGUCCGACGACCGAUGAGUGGAUAAACAAAAUGUGGUCCAUCCACACAGUGGAAUAUUAUUCAGCUUUAAAAAGGAGGGAAGUUUUGACACCUGCUACAGCACGGAUGAGUCUUGUGGACAUUACACUGAAUGAGAAGGCGGGUGCAAGGACGCUCCCAGCAAUGUGACCCCGAGCCGUCGAGAACGGCAGACAACCCAGCAGGAGCAUGAGGAGCCGUGGUUUAUCCGUACGCUGCAGUGAGAAGGCACAAGCCACUGCCACACACAACCAUGCGGAGAUAUCGGCUGAAAUACUGAAGAAUGCAAUGAUGGAAAAUCCAGGACUUACCUCCAAGUCCAGGUUGAUACUGUGGAAGCUUG